UACGUAGGGUGCGAGCGUUGUCCGGAAUUAUUGGGCGUAAAGAGCUCGUAGGCGGUGUGUCACGUCUGCCGUGAAAACCUGCAGCUUAACUGUGGGCGUGCGGUCGAUACGGGCAUCACUGGAGUUCGGCAGGGGAGACUGGAAUUCCUGGUGUAGCGGUGAAAUGCGCAGAUAUCAGGAGGAACACCGGUGGCGAAGGCGGGUCUCUGGGCAUGUCCUGACGCUGAGGAGCGAAAGUGUGGGGAGCGAACAGG
rnacentral:rRNA from 1 species